GACGAACGCUGGCGGCGCGCUUUACGCAUGCAAGUCGCACGGACCUUCGGGUUAGUGGCGGACGGCUGAGUAACGCGUAGGCAAUCUGCCCAGUGGUGGGGGAUAACCUGUCGAAAGGCGGGCUAAGACCGCAUGUGCUCACCGGGUGAAACUCCCGGUGUGGAAAACAGCAAUGUGCCACUGGAGGAGCCUGCGUCCUAUCAGGUAGUUGGUGGGGUAACGGCCUACCAAGCCGAUGACGGGUAGCUGGUCUGAGAGGUCGACCAGCCAGAAGGGGACUGAGACACGGCCCCUACUCCUACGGGA
rnacentral:rRNA from 1 species